GCCUCGGUAGCGUAGUGGUCAAGACGCUCGCCUGGUAAACAGGAGGGCGUGGGUUAGAUCCCAGCCGAGGCA
rfam:Asian citrus Psyllid, Diaphorina citri - Florida Strain, whole genome shotgun sequence.